UACGUAGGGGGCAAGCGUUGUCCGGAAUCAUUGGGCGUAAAGCGCGUGUAGGCGGUCCGGUAAGUCCGCUGUGAAAGUCGGGGGCUCAACCCUCGGAUGCCGGUGGAUACUGUCGGGCUUGAGUACGGAAGAGGCGAGUGGAAUUCCUGGUGUAGCGGUGAAAUGCGCAGAUAUCAGGAGGAACACCGGUGGCGAAGGCGGGUCUCUGGGCCGAAACUGACGCUGAGGAGCGAAAGCGUGGGGAGCAAACAGG
rnacentral:rRNA from 1 species